UUAGAAAUGAUCUACUUGUAUGACCUUGGACACAUCAUUUUGCUUCUCCAGAUUUCCAUAUCUUCUUCUGAAAAAUCGUCUGAAGAUAUUAUUGUGAUAAACAAAAUACAAAUGAACUUCGAAGUUUCACUGAAUUAAUUGCAACUCUUUGUCAAUCAAUGGUAUAAUAUGACUAAUAUCAUCUGGGCCCUCUAGCUCCUGGAUUUAUCAGUAUUAUGUCAGAGUUCUCUGUGUAGCACAACCCCCAUGAUGCUGAUAUCCUUCCACCAAAGGAAGAGGCUGGAAAAGUAAUCCUGUAUCAGAGACAUGCAAGAAUUUAAUCAUAGAAUAUCAGAGCUGGAAGAGACCUUAAGGGUCUUCUACCCAACCCUUACUGGAAGCAUGAAACCCUUUUACAACAUGUUUGACAAGUGAUCAACCAGCCUUCUACGUGAAGACUUUCAAAGUGGGACAAUUCAUUACCACUGAUGG